UACAGAGGUCUCAACCGUUGUUCGGAUUCAUUGGGCGUAAAGGGUGCGUAGGCGGUCGCGCAAGUCGGAUGUGAAAUCUCAGGGCUCAACCCUGAAACUGCACUCGAUACUGCGUGGCUAGAGUGCUGGAGAGGAGACUGGAAUUUACGGUGUAGCAGUGAAAUGCGUAGAUAUCGUAAGGAAGACCAGUGGCGAAGGCGAGUCUCUGGACAGCAACUGACGCUGAGGCACGAAGGCCAGGGGAGCAAACGGG
rnacentral:rRNA from 1 species